AGUGAACGCUGGCGGCGUGCCUAAUACAUGCAAGUCGAACGAAGUGGCGCACGGGCGAGUAAUAUAUAGUUAAUCUGCCCUACACAGAGGAACAACAGUUGGAAACGACUGCUAAUACCUCAUAGUGUAGGAUGAGACUAUAUCGUAUCAGCUAGUUGGUAAGGUAAUGGCUUACCAAGGCUAUGACGCGUAACUGGUCUGGGAGGAUGAUCAGUCACAUUGGAACUGAGACACGUACCAGGCGCCUACGGGGGGCAGCGGUCAGGAAUAUUGCGCAGUGAGGGAGACCCUGAUACGGCGGCGCCGCGUGCGUAAUGUCGGCCUUCGGGUUAUAAACCGCUUUCAGCCAUGACGCGGUAGUGGCAGAAGAAGCACCGGCUAACUACGUGCCAGCCGCCGCGGUAAUUC
rnacentral:rRNA from 1 species